rnacentral:rRNA from 1 species
GUGGGGAAUAUUGGACAAUGGGCGAAAGCCUGAUCCAGCCAUGCCGCGUGUGUGAAGAAGGUCUUCGGAUUGUAAAGCACUUUAAGUUGGGAGGAAGGGCAGUAAGUUAAUACCUUGCUGUUUUGACGUUACCAACAGAAUAAGCACCGGCUAACUUCGUGCCAGCAGCCGCGGUAAUACGAAGGGUGCAAGCGUUAAUCGGAAUUACUGGGCGUAAAGCGCGCGUAGGUGGUUCAGCAAGUUGGAGGUGAAAUCCCCGGGCUCAACCUGGGAACUGACUCCAAAACUACUGAGCUAGAGUACGGUAGAGGGUAGUGGAAUUUCCUGUGUAGCGGUGAAAUGCGUAGAUAUAGGAAGGAACACCAGUGGCGAAGGCGACUACCUGGACUGAUACUGACACUGAGGUGCGAAAGCGUGGGGAGCAAACAGGAUUAGAUACCCGGGUAGUCC